rnacentral:rRNA from 1 species
ACGGAAGGCAGCAGUGGGGAAUAUUGCACAAUGGGCGAAAGCCUGAUGCAGCGACGCCGCGUGAGCGAUGAAGUAUUUCGGUAUGUAAAGCUCUAUCAGCAGGGAAGAUAAUGACGGUACCUGACUAAGAAGCACCGGCUAAAUACGUGCCAGCAGCCGCGGUAAUACGUAUGGUGCAAGCGUUAUCCGGAUUUACUGGGUGUAAAGGGAGCGUAGGCGGAACUUUAAGUCUGAUGUGAAAGCCCGGGGCUCAACUCCGGUACUGCAUUGGAAACUGGAGUUCUAGAGUGUCGGAGGGGUAAGUGGAAUUCCUAGUGUAGCGGUGAAAUGCGUAGAUAUUAGGAGGAACACCAGUGGCGAAGGCGGCUUACUGGACGAUUACUGACGCUGAGGCUCGAAAGCGUGGGGAGCAAACAGGAUUAGAUACCCUGGUA